UGGGGAAUUUUGGACAAUGGGCGCAAGCCUGAUCCAGCCAUGCCGCGUGAGUGAAGAAGGCCUUCGGGUUGUAAAGCUCUUUCGGCCGGGAAGAAAUCGUGUUCUCUAACAUAGGACAUGGAUGACGGUACCGGACUAAGAAGCACCGGCUAACUACGUGCCAGCAGCCGCGGUAAUACGUAGGGUGCGAGCGUUAAUCGGAAUUACUGGGCGUAAAGCGUGCGCAGGCGGUUUUGUAAGACAGAUGUGAAAUCCCCGGGCUUAACCGGGGAACGGCGUCUGGGACUGCAAGGCUGGAGUACGGCAGAGGGGGGUGGAAUUCCACGUGGGGCAGUGAAAUGCGUAGAGAUGUGGAGGAACACCGAUGGCGAAGGCAGCCCCCUGGGCCUGUACUGACGCUCAUGCACGAAAGCGUGGGGAGCAAACA
rnacentral:rRNA from 1 species